CAAACUCUUAAAAAUUCAGAUUUAGACCGUUUGUUUGGGUAUUAAUUUUUGCCUCUUAAUUUUGUUAAUACCUCUUAAAGUUUCAGAUGUAGAGCCAUGUCUGAACUUAAAAAAAAAAAAACGCGCUUUCCCCUUCCUGCCCUAAAAUUUCAACACUCUUUUUCGUCACUCCAUAUUUCACGAGACCAACGUCCAUUUCUCCCACUCAACCCCUUUCCGAGCUGCCUCCCUUCACCAUCGACUUCGCCGCCGACAACCCCUCUAACGAGGCCGCCUUUUCCAUCGCCGUCGGUAGUGCCGACUCCCUUCGUCGAAGUAGCCAAAUUUUCCGAUUCCAGGUGAAAUUUUAUUCCUUUGCCCUAAAACUCGAUAAUAAGAUCUCUAGUUAAUCGAUCUCUGUUUUGGGUGAGGAUCUAAGACGAAGUGGUUGAUCUCAUGGGAGUUAAUCAGUGAGUUGCUAUGAAAUUUGUGACAAGUUCUAUAUAUUGGGUGCAAUGACUUGUGGCUUUCCUGGAAAUCCAUGAAAUUCGACAUGCUACUGUGGAAGUUAAGUGGGCUUUGUGGAGGGAAGAACAACAAAUGUCUAGACCUGAAGCAAUGUUGGGAGGAGCUCCAGGGGUACAUGGACAUAAAAUUUUAUCAAUACUUUGAAAGUUAUGGCUAUAUAACUGAUGUAGUAAUCACGUUUGACCUUCCAUGAACCCAACAAGAAUUUUGUUGAGGUGAAACGAGCACUUCCUAAAGACGUUAUUCCUGGCAGCAAUUUUGGCUAUUAUGAUAUUCAAAUGGAUGUUAAUAGAUUUCUGCAACAAACCUCUGGUUUGGGGCAAGAGGUGGUGGUUAAGAUCAGCAAGAGGCAGGUGGUGGUGACAAUAUGGGCGUCAGACAAACAGGUUACUAAUAGUUUGUAUGUCAUUUUUAAAAGUGUGGUUGGUAGGUGGAAAUGUGUAGCUCAUGUUUGCAAUAGUUGUAUCUGAUUCCAUUUAUCAAUUGUGUACAUCUUUUUCAUUUUUAAUGUUUGCAAUAGUUUAUCUAUUUCUAUUUAUCAAUUGUUUACAUCUUUUUCAUUUUUAA